UUGUUCGGAAUCACUGGGCGUAAAGGGAGCGUAGGCGGGUUCUUAAGUUAGGUGUUUAAUCCCGGGGCCCAACCCCGGACCGGCACUUAAAACUGGGAAUCUUGAAUAGUGGAGAGGUCAGUGGAAUUGGGGGUGUAGCGGUGGAAUGCGUAGAGAUCCCCAAGAACACCAGUUGCGAAGGCGGCUGACUGGACACAUAUUGACGCUGAGGCUCGAAAGCAUGGGGAGCAAACAGG
rnacentral:rRNA from 1 species